AGAGUUUGAUCCUGGCUCAGGAUGAACGCUGGCGGCGUGCCUAACACAUGCAAGUCGAACGGACUUAAUUUGAAACCUAGUGAUAAUUAAGUGAGUGGCGGACGGGUGAGUAACGCGUGGAUAACCUGCCGUAUGCAGGGGGAUACCAACUGGAAACAGUUGCUAAUACCACAUAAGCGCACGGUGUCGCAUGACACAGUGUGAAAAGGUUUAACGGCAUACGAUGGAUCCGCGUCCGAUUAGCCAGUUGGCGGGGCAACGGCCCACCAAAGCAACGAUCGGUAGCCGGCCUGAGAGGGCGGACGGCCACAUUGGGACUGAGACACGGCCCAAACUCCUACGGGAGGCAGCAGUGGGGAAUAUUGCACAAUGGGGGAAACCCUGAUGCAGCGACGCCGCGUGAGUGAAGAAGUAUUUCGGUAUGUAAAGCUCUAUCAGCAGGGAAGAAAGGUGCCCCUUGGGCGCCUGGACGGUACCUGACUAAGAAGCCCCGGCUAACUACGUGCCAGCAGCCGCGGUAAUACGUAGGGGGCAAGCGUUAUCCGGAUUUACUGGGUGUAAAGGGAGCGUAGACGGCAGAGCAAGUCCGGAGUGAAAGCCCGGGGCCCAACCCCGGGACUGCUCUGGAAACUGUUAAGCUGGAGUGCGGGAGGGGCAGGCGGAAUUCCUGGUGUAGCGGUGAAAUGCGUAGAUAUCAGGAGGAACACCGGUGGCGAAGGCGGCCUGCUGGACUGCGACUGACG
rnacentral:rRNA from 1 species